rnacentral:rRNA from 1 species
CCUACGGGUGUCAGCAGUGAGGAAUAUUGGUCAAUGGGCGAGAGCCUGAACCAGCCAAGUCGCGUGAGGGAGUACUGCCCUAUGGGUUGUAAACCUCUUUUGUCGGGGAGCAAAAGACGGACGUGUCCGGCUGUGAGGGUACCCGAAGAAAAAGCAUCGGCUAACUACGUUCCCGCAGCCGCGGUAAUACGGAGGAUGCGAGCGUUAUCCGGAUUUAUGGGGUUUAAAGGUUGCGCAGGCGGUUUUUUAUGGCAGCGGUAAAAUCGUGGGGCGCAACCCCAUCCAGCCGUUGAAACUGGGGAUCUAGAGUGUGCGAGAGGUAUGCGGAAUGCGUGGUGUAGCGGUGAAAUGCAUAGAUAUCACGCAGAAACCCGAUUGCGAAGGCAGCAUAACGGUGCACAACUGACGCUCAGGCACGAAAGCGUGGGUAUCGAACAGGAUUAGAUACCCUUGUAGUC